GAUGAAGAACGCAGCAAAAUGCGAUACUUGGUGUGAAUUGCAGAAUCCCGUGAACCAUCGAGUUUUUGAACGCAAGUUGCGCCCGAAGCCUUUUGGCCGAGGGCACGUCUGCCUGGGCGUCACGCAUCGCGUCGCCCCCCCACAAUUCUCCGUAAAGGGAACAUGUGUUUUGGGGGCGGAUAUUGGUCUCCCGUGCUCAUGGCGUGGUUGGCCGAAAUAGGAGUCCUUUCGAUGGACGCACGAACUAGUGGUGGUCGUAAAAACCCUCGUCUUUUGUUUCGUGCUGUUGCUCGCAAGGUAAACUCUUUAAAAAACCCAAUGCGUCGUCUCUUGACGACGCUUCGACCGCGACCCCAGGUCAGGCGGGACUACCCGCUGAGUUUAAGCAUAUCAAUAAGCGGAGGA
rnacentral:misc_RNA from 1 species